AUUGAACGCUGGCGGCGUGCCUAACACAUGCAAGUCGAGCGGUAACAGGUGUAGCAAUACAUGCUGACGAGCGGCGAACGGGUGAGUAAUGCUUUGGAAUCUUCCCAGUAGUGGGGAAUAACCAGUCGAAAGAUUGGCUAAUACCGCAUACGUCUGUAAAGGGAAAGCGGGGGCUCGUAAGACCUCGCGCUAUUGGAUGAGCCAAAGUCGGAUUAGCUAGUUGGUGGGGUAAGGCCUACCAAGGCGACAAUCCGUAGCUGGUCUGAGAGGACGACCAGCCACACCGGAACUGAGACACGGUCCGGACUCCUACGGGAGGCAGCAGUGGGGAAUAUUGGACAAUGGGGGAAACCCUGAUCCAGCGACGCCACGUGUGUGAAGAAGGCCUGCGGGUUGUAAAGCACUUUUAGUGGGGAACAAAAAG
rnacentral:rRNA from 1 species